GUGCUUGCUUCAGCAGCACAUAUACUAACAUCGGAUCGAUACAGAGAAGAUUGAUUAGCAUGGUCCCUGCACACACAAGUAUCACAUUUGUUAGCUGGAUUGUU
ensembl:snRNA U6 U6 spliceosomal RNA